AAAGACAAAGAAAAGAAAAAUCUAGUAAUGCUUACAUUACAAAAAUUUGAGUCUUGAACGAUAAUGAAAAGGUAGGUAAGGUGGCUCUAUACUGGAGGCUAGACGGAAACGAAGAUAUGGGGGCUUGAAAAAGAAUGCAAAAGAAUGGUAAGAUGUGGUUAGUGUUCAAAGAGGGUGAAGCCACUUGUACCCAAAUGUCUAUCCAACCCAUCUCUGAACCUACAUUACAAGCCAAAAAGCCCUUAUUAGACCUUCAACCGAACAUUCUGGAAAAGCAACGAAUUAAAUAAGGGCAAGCUAAUGGUAUGACAUGUUGUAAUACUUGAAGUUCUUUCUGAGAGUGAGUGUGUUUA
rnacentral:lncRNA from 1 species